GAUGAACGCUGACAGCAUGCUUAACACAUGCAAGUCAACUUGAACUUCGGUUUGGGUGGCGGACGGGUGAGUAACGCGUAAAGAACUUGCCUCACAGAUAGGGACAACAUUUGGAAACGAAUGCUAAUACCUGAUAUUAUGAUUAUAUGGCAUCGUAUAAUUAUGAAAGCUGUAUGCGCUGUGAGAGAGCUUUGCGUCCCAUUAGCUAGUUGGAGAGGUAACGGCUCACCAAGGCGAUGAUGGGUAGCCGGCCUGAGAGGGUGAUCGGCCACAAGGGGACUGAGACACGGCCCUUACUCCUACGGGAGGCAGCAGUGGGGAAUAUUGGACAAUGGACCAAGAGUCUGAUCCAGCAAUUCUGUGUGCACGAUGAAGUUUUUCGGAAUGUAAAGUGCUUUCAGUUGGGAAGAAAAAAAUGACGGUACCAACAGAAGAAGUGACGGCUAAAUACGUG
rnacentral:rRNA from 1 species